AUGAUUUUCUCAUCUCUUCUUCUUGCAUCUUCUUCAAGAAGAAUUUUGUCAAAGGAUGAGAAAUCCUCUUCAACACAAACUAAACUAGAUAAUGAAAGUGCUAUUGGAUUAAGUAAAGUGGAAGAUUUAUUUGAAGCUAGAGAAGAAUUGAUGGUAAAGGAGAGAAUGAAUUUGGAAAUAGAUGAUUAUCCAGGGACUGGAGCAAACAAUCACCAUGACCCUAAUACACCAGGAAGGGUUUGA